AUUGAACGCUGGCGGCAGGCUUAACACAUGCAAGUCGAACGAGUGGCGGACGGGUGAGUAAUGUCUGGGAAACUGCCUGAUGGAGGGGGAAAACUACUGGAAACGGUAGCUAAUACCGCAUACCAUCGGAUGUGCCAAGAUGGGAUGAGCUAGUAGGUGGGGUAAAGGCUCACUUAGGCGACGAUCCCUAGCUGGUCUGCGAGGAUGACCGGCCACACUGGAACUGAGACACGGUCCAGACUCCUACGGGAGGCAGCAGUGGGGAAUCUUGCACAAUGGGCGCAAGCCUGACGCAGCAAUGCCGCGUGAAUGAAGAAGGUCUUCGGGUCGUAAAGUACUGUUAGCGGGGAAGCGUUACCCGCAGAAGAAGCACCGGCUAACUCCGUGCCAGCAGCCGCGGUAAUAC
rnacentral:rRNA from 1 species